UGGGGAAUAUUGGACAAUGGGCGAAAGCCUGAUCCAGCCAUGCCGCGUGUGUGAAGAAGGCCUUAUGGUUGUAAAGCACUUUAAGCGAGGAGGAGGCUACUUUAGUUAAUACCUAGAGAUAGUGGACGUUACUCGCAGAAUAAGCACCGGCUAACUCUGUGCCAGCAGCCGCGGUAAUACAGAGGGUGCAAGCGUUAAUCGGAUUUACUGGGCGUAAAGCGCGCGUAGGCGGCUAAUUAAGUCAAAUGUGAAAUCCCCGAGCUUAACUUGGGAAUUGCAUUCGAUACUGGUUAGCUAGAGUGUGGGAGAGGAUGGUAGAAUUCCAGGUGUAGCGGUGAAAUGCGUAGAGAUCUGGAGGAAUACCGAUGGCGAAGGCAGCCAUCUGGCCUAACACUGACGCUGAGGUGCGAAAGCAUGGGGAGCAAACAGG
rnacentral:rRNA from 1 species